UACGUAGGUGGCAAGCGUUGUCCGGAUUUAUUGGGCGUAAAGCGAGCGCAGGCGGGUAUUUAAGUCUGAUGUGAAAGCCUUUGGCUCAACCGAAGAAGUGCAUUGGAAACUGGGAAACUUGAGUGCAGAAGAGGACAGUGGAACUUCAUGUGUAGCGGUGAAAUGCGUAGAUAUAUGGAAGAACACCAGUUGCGAAGGCGGCUGUCUGGUCUGUAACUGACGCUGAGGCGCGAAAGUAUGGGGAGCAAACAGG
rnacentral:rRNA from 1 species